UACGUAGGGUGCAAGCGUUAAUCGGAAUUACUGGGCGUAAAGCGUGCGCAGGCGGUUUUGUAAGUCUGUCGUGAAAUCCCCGGGCUCAACCUGGGAAUGGCGAUGGAGACUGCAAGGCUAGAGUUUGGCAGAGGGGGGUAGAAUUCCACGUGUAGCAGUGAAAAUGCGUAGAUAUGUGGAGGAACACCGAUGGCGAAGGCAGCCCCCCUGGGUCAAAACUGACGCUCAUGCACGAAAGCGUGGGGAGCAAACAGG
rnacentral:rRNA from 1 species